rnacentral:rRNA from 1 species
GACGAACGCUGGCGGCGUGCUUAACACAUGCAAGUCGAACGGAAAGGCCCUGCUUUUGUGGGGUGCUCGAGUGGCGAACGGGUGAGUAACACGUGAGUAACCUGCCCUUGACUUUGGGAUAACUUCAGGAAACUGGGGCUAAUACCGGAUAGGAGCUCCUGCUGCAUGGUGGGGGUUGGAAAGUUUCGGCGGUUGGGGAUGGACUCGCGGCUUAUCAGCUUGUUGGCGGGGUAGUGGCUUACCAAGGCUUUGACGGGUAGCCGGCCUGAGAGGGUGACCGGCCACAUUGGGACUGAGAUACGGCCCAGACUCCUACGGGAGGCAGCAGUGGGGAAUAUUGCACAAUGGGUGGAAGCCUGAUGCAGCAACGCCGCGUGCGGGAUGACGGCCUUCGGGUUGUAAACCGCUUUCGCCUGUGACGAAGCGUGAGUGACGGUAAUGGGUAAAGAAGCACCGGCUAACUACGUG